UCUUGACUAUUUUGUUCACUGUAUGCGUAUGUAGGAUUUAAAGGACAGCGGUUUGUAAGUUGCGACAACAGUAUAGUGAGGCAUGAAAGAUACGUUCGUUUGGACGCUUAGCUAUUUGAAGAGACUGUAUACAUACAUAUGUAUAUUUAUACUGUAUACAGCUCGCUAUUUUAUGUAUCUGCACCACAAACCAAAACAAUAUGGGAACCAUCAGUUCAGACUAGUCUUAUGUUUGUGGUGCAAACAAUAAAGUUCUUAAAGGAUACCAAGUAAGCGUCGUGGUGUGUGAAGGCAGGAGACGAAGCAUUCGAUGUCCUACUAAUCAUGUCAUCUCUAUUCACACUGCUUACUACGGGAGGACAGAUUCUUCCACAUGCCGUCGGCCAAACACUAACAUACAAAGCACAAGUUGCGCCUCUACGUCAUCAAAUGAGAUAAUUAAAGACGCUUGCCAAGGACAAAACGGUUGCAGAUUAGAUGCUCGGAAUUCUAUAUUCGGAGAUCCUUGUCGUGGAACGCCCAAGUAUAUGUCGUAUACUUGUAUCUAUCCAACUUGUUCCAAUCCUAUUCCAGCCGUUCGAGUCAUUUGUGAACGGCAACGUCGCAUCAUUAACUGUGGAACUGGGAAACGUAUUGGAGUUUUGACUGGCUUUUAUGGAAGAACAAAUAAACUCACGUGUCCGUCUCGUGCCAUCCGUUCAUCGAGAUGCAAAUCUAGAAGUUCGUUUCGACGAAUCCACAAUACAUGCCAUGGCAAACAACGAUGUGCAAUUACAGCAACCAAUACUGUAUUUGGUAACCCAUGUAACGGAACAUACAAAUACAUUAAGAUGUCCUAUGUUUGCUAUUUUCCAUAGAAACAUAUCGUGGUAGUUAUUACUAUACGGGGUAAGGUGGAUACCGUUAGUACAUAAUACAAAAUAUCGCAUGUUUCCUAAUCGUGUUUUUUUAACAAUUAACAACUCUCUUUUAGAGUCGUGAGAAUACGAUUAUAUA